UUUGGCUCCUCUCGUCUCUGUCUUCAGCAUCAAAGAGGAGCUCGGAGUUUUCAACGCCGGCAACAAUGGCGAUCACGAGAGUCCUAGGGUUUAUGGCCCAAUCGAUCGUUUAUUCAGAUCGUGAUCAUCGAAUUCCUUCCCUUUUCUCGAUUUCAGUUUAAUAAUUUAUCUAAUUUUCGGAUUAUUGAAAUUUAAUUUGAAUUUUCUAAUUGGAUCAGAAAGACCGCGCCUUCAGAUCUUUGAACAGAAGGGUUUGAGGCUUGAAGGUCGCACUAUCGCGAGUUACUCUCUCAAUUCGUUUCUUUAGAGUUAGGGUAACUCUUUGCACGAUACUUUUUUUUUCUAAUGGAAAUUUCAGCGUCAAGGAGAAGCUUGGAUUUCAACGCCGCAAUGAUGGCGCGCAGCCGCCAGAAUCCAAAGAAUUAUGUCCCAAGUCCUAACUCUUCAUUCUCAUCUUCAAGUUUCUUCAGAGUGUGAAUACCGAAAGUUCCUCCCCUUUUCCACAUUUUCAAUUUAUUUAUCAUUUCUUUUGCAGAUUAUUGAAAUUUAAUUGAUUGAUUUUUUCUGAUUGGAUCAUAAAGCUCGCAGUCAGAUGUGGCUCUUUGAACAGCAGGAUUUGAGAAUUGAAGGUCGCAUUUUGUGGUUUUGAUGAAUACAUGAAUCUGGUCUCGGAUGAUGCUGAAGAACUUAACGCCAAGAAGAACACCAGAAAGGCUCUUGGGAGAAUUUUGUUGAAAGGUGAUAACAUUACCUUGAUGAUGAACACAGGGAAAUGAUGCACCAUCUUGCUUGGUCACAUUAUUUUUAUCUCUAUAUGGAAGAAUCUUGGUGGGCAAGUGGUUGGAGGAUAUAUUCCAUUUACAAAUGUUUUCAGGUCUGAAGAAUUCCUACCCAGAAUAGUACAUGAACCAGAUCCCAUCAGUGAAUGGACUCUAAUUAAAUAAGUGGAGGCCCUUCUCUUUUGGUCAAAGUUAAUCAGAUCCUAUCAGUGGAUGACUCUAAUUGAAUAAGUGGAGAUCUUUCUUCUUUGGUCAAGGAGUAAAUGAAUCUGCAAGUUAGUGCCUCUACGAGCUUUGCUGGGGCGUGCAUCCAAACUCGAAAGCAAAUAUGGCCGCCACCAUGAUGCUGAGAUUAUGCUACCAUCACGACAUUGGUUGUUAAUUUCACCAUAAAUUAAAUAAAUCUUCACUACGAUCUCUAAAGUACCUUUUGAGUGAUUUGUAUAUGCUUCAAAUCCUAUUGGUGUAGAGUAGUCACAAGUGAUUUACUUUAGUACGGGUCAGUAGGUACAAAAUGUCUCUUCUGUGAAAUGAACAAUAUCUAUUCUGAUAUGCAACGGCAUCACCGUUAAAAGAGGUAAAGCAUCUUUCUGUUUGUUAGGCUUUCAGUAUUGGCUAUCUGGCUAUUGCAGACUGAUCGCCUACCGUUUGCAAGAUUUGGAAAUUCGGUGCUCUGCGUCCAGUGAGAAGUAGAAAUUUCAUAGCGACAGCGAAGACAAUUCCCUUUUUGGUGAUUCAUAGGAAUGUUCUGCUAUGGUUCAAGCUUGAGCUUCAGACCAGAUCAUGCACAUCAAACGAAGGGUGUAGGAUUGGAAACAUUUGCCAAGGGCAACAGAAGCUAAGUUGUUCCAGCGUGCCAAAUGAUUAUAUACCCUAAACAGCCAGGUCAGCCAUAACAUUCCUUUGAGCCCAGCACUUUUCUUCUCAAUCCCUUGGCAUGUAAAGGCAUGUUAUGACUCGAUUCCAGCAGAUUUGCUUGUUUGAUGGACGUAUUAGCCAAUCUUGUCUCGCCCAAGAGACCCACAAAAGGGGGGGAAGUUAAGACGCAAGGGAAGAGAGGGCGGCCCUUUAUGUCGACAUUGUUCCUAAUCUUACUCUUUGGAAUGCAUGGGUUAUUUUUGGGCUUUUCAAAAUCUUAAACAAAUUGAAGGCAUUGCCUUUUUGAGGAGCUACUGAGUUUGAUUCUUGUCAUCUACAUAAAAUUGCUCACAUAGUUUUUUAUGAUGAAGGAAGAUAUUAUUAUAUAUUUGAGAAUCAGAUGGAUGCUCAAAGCACUGAGGGUUUUUUAAAUUCCAUAUGUAUGUUAUAAAGUACGGGUGCUUUGCUCAAUUCCUGUCACCGAGGAUAUUUUUCUUUCUUCACUUGGACAAAAGGAGCAUCAUAUCAUGUACAUGGCCAUCGGAAGAAUGUUCCAAAAAAUCCUAGUGCUCACUAGAAAAAAAUAUAUAUAAUAUU